rnacentral:lncRNA from 1 species
GAGCAGUAUCUCCAGGCCGAUAAGCGUCUUCUUUAGUGGGUUCCAAGCCUCCUAGAAAUGGAUGAGCCGAAAUCGCAACUGAGCUUCGUGGUGACCCAGUGAGACAUCUUUGAAGAACAUGACAUUUUCAUCGUAAUCAGAGGAGACAAUUGACUUCCCAUUCGGUUUCAUCGCCAUGGAUCGAGGUUAGAGCAGUUCAAGGGUUUUGAUUUGUACAAACGAAAGAAAAUCAGUAUAUAAAGAAUGAGGACGAGUGGAAAGUGAAACGAAAUCAUAAAGAAGAAAUUGAUUGAUCAAUUAAAGUGGAG